CCUGCCCUACCUGGCGCCAUCCAGGAGCAGCAGGCAGGUCCUUGGAACCCAGGAGAGAGAUCUUGGACCCAAGAGCCUGGUCAGCAGGGCAUCCUGCUGAGGGAACCAGAAGACAUAGGGAGCUAGCCACAAGAAAAUGUGGUCAAGCUACCUCCACUCUACAGACGUUGGACAAGCCAGCUUCCCAUAGCUUCCUCUAACCUGAAAUGCUGAAAGGAGGUAUCAAGGCCUGGAAGAGAAGGAAGGAAGUUGAGCACAAAGCAUCUUGAGGUCUCAGAUGCCAAGAUGACUCCAACCAUGGUGGUUCUCCUGUGACCUAAGAAAGAUCCUGAAGAAGGGUGCGAGCAGCGGCAGAUGGAGAGCAGCGCUGCCCGGGCGCAUCUGCGGGGAGCGGCGGCAUCGAUCCUGGCCCCCCUCUGAAACCGUUCGUCCUGGGCCUUUCUGUCGGUUCACUCCUAAAUGCAGGGCCAAGGUCCGAGAAACUGCAGCGCCCGAGUGACUAGUGUAGUUCAAUUCCCUUCCCUAUCCCCUCCUGUCCUCAGGGCCCGAGCUGCGCCCCCACGGCUGGCAGGCUCUGCCAGCCCCACUGCCCCAGUUGGCACGCGGCGGGCCAGCCUGACGCGUGGCAGCGCCCUGCGGCAGAUGAGGCACGCGCCGGCCUCAUUUCAAUGAGAAUGGAUCGAAUGAAGCAGCCAUGUGGCAGCAACAGUUUGCAAAUCUCCCCGCCUUCUGUGCAACUCCCCGGCCGCGGCUCCCAGCACGUGGCCCCUUCACCGCAGCGACCGCAGCAGGGUCUCUCAAGGCUUAAGUGCCCCGCCUCAGACAGGCCUGCUUCCCCGCCCCCAGCCUGUCCUGCGGGCGCAGUAGCCCAGACCCCACCUCGCUUCUACCCGGGUGCAGUG